rnacentral:rRNA from 1 species
UACAGAGGUCCCAAGCGUUGUUCGGAUUCACUGGGCGUAAAGGGUGCGUAGGCGGUCGGGUAAGUCUGAUGUGAAAUCUCACAGCUUAACUGUGAAACUGCAUUGGAUACUAUUCGGCUUGAGAGUUGGAGGGGGGACUGGAAUUCUCGGUGUAGCAGUGAAAUGCGUAGAUAUCGAGAGGAACACCAGUGGCGAAGGCGGCUCACUGGCCCGGUACUGACGCUGAGGUGCGAAAGCAUGGGUAGCGAACAGG